CCUACGGGUGGCUGCAGUAGGGAAUCUUUCACAAUGGGCGAAAGCCUGAUGGAGCAACGCCGCGUGCAGGAUGAAGGCCUUCGGGUUGUAAACUGCUUUUAUAAGCGAGAAAGAUGAUGGUAACUUAUGAAUAAGGAGCGGCUAACUACGUGCCAGCAGCCGCGGUCAUACGGAGGAACCGAGCAUUAUCCGGAGUGACUGGGGGUAAAGAGUGGCGUAGGUGGCCUAAUAAGUAGCUAGUGCAAUCUGGGGGCUCAACCAUUCAGACUAGUAGCUAAACUGUUAAGCUCGAGACCGUUAGGGGUAACUGGAAUUUCUCGUGUAGGAGUGAAAUCCGUAGAUAUUAGAAGGAACACCAAUCGCGUAGGCAGGUUACUGGGACGGUUCUGACACUCAGGCACGAAAGCGUCGGUAGCAAACAGGAUUAGAUACCCUUGUAGUC
rnacentral:rRNA from 1 species